rnacentral:rRNA from 1 species
UACGUAGGGUGCAAGCGUUGUCCGGAAUCAUUGGGCGUAAAGAGCGUGUAGGCGGCCAGAAAAGUCCGCUGUGAAAACUCGAGGCUCAACUUCGAGCUGUCGGUGGAAACUUUCUGGCUAGAGUCCGGAAGAGGAGAAUGGAAUUCCUGGUGUAGCGGUGAAAUGCGCAGAUAUCAGGAAGAACACCCGUGGCGAAGGCGGUUCUCUGGGACGGUACUGACGCUGAGGAGCGAAAGCAUGGGGAGCGAACAGG